rnacentral:rRNA from 1 species
AUUGAACGCUGGCGGCAUGCUUUACACAUGCAAGUCGAACGGUAACAGGCCUUCGGGUGCUGCCGAGUGGCGAACGGGUGAGUAAUGCAUCGGAACGUACCCAGAGGUGGGGGAUAACGCAGCGAAAGCUGUGCUAAUACCGCAUGUGAUCUGAGGAUGAAAGCGGGGGACCGCGCAGCAAUGUUUGGCCUCGCGCCUUUGGAGCGGCCGAUGUCGGAUUAGCUAGUUGGUGGGGUAAAGGCCUACCAAGGCGACGAUCCGUAGCUGGUCUGAGAGGACGACCAGCCACACUGGGACUGAGACACGGCCCAGACUCCUACGGGAGGCAGCAGUGGGGAAUUUUGGACAAUGGGCGCAAGUCUGAUCCAGCAAUGCCGCGUGCGGGAAGAAGGCCGUCGGGUUGUAAACCGCUUUUGGCAGGAACGAAACGGUGUCCGCUAAUACCGGGCGCUAGUGACGGUACCUGCAGAAUAAGCACCGGCUAACUACG